CUCCUACGGGAGGCAGCAGUAGGGAAUCUUCCUUUUUGGACGAAAGUCUGACCGAGCAACGCCGCGUGAAUGAAGAAGGCUUUCGGGUCGUAAAAUUCUGUUAUAAGGGAAGAAAAGUUAGAGUAGGAAAUGGCUCUAAAGUGACGGUACCUUAUGAGAAAGCCACGGCUAACUACGUGCCAGCAGCCGCGGUAAUACGUAGGUGGCAAGCGUUAUCCGGAAUUAUUGGGCGUAAAGAGCGCGCAGGUGGUUGAUUAAGUCUGAUGUGAAAGCCCACGGCUUAACCGUGGAGGGUCAUUGGAAACUGGUCAACUUGAGUGCAGAAGAGGGAAGUGGAAUUCCAUGUGUAGCGGUGAAAUGCGUAGAGAUAUGGAGGAACACCAGUGGCGAAGGCGGCUUCCUGGUCUGUAACUGACACUGAGGCGCGAAAGCGUGGGGAGCAAACAGGAUUAGAUACCCUGGUAGUCCACGCUGUAAACGAUGUCGACUUGGAGGUUGUGCCCUUGAGGCGUGGCUUCCGGAGCUAACGCGUUAAGUCGACCGCCUGGGGAGUACGGCCGCAAGGUUAAAACUCAAAUGAAUUGACGGGGGCCCGCACAAGCGGUGGAGCAUGUGGUUUAAUUCGAUGCAACGCGAAGAACCUUACCUACUCUUGACAUCCAGAGAAUUCGCUAGAGAUAGCUUAGUGCCUUCGGGAACUCUGAGACAGGUGCUGCAUGGCUGUCGUCAGCUCGUGUUGUGAAAUGUUGGGUUAAGUCCCGCAACGAGCGCAACCCUUAUCCUUUGUUGCCAGCACGUAAUGGUGGGAACUCAAAGGAGACUGCCGGUGAUAAACCGGAGGAAGGUGGGGAUGACGUCAAGUCAUCAUGGCCCUUACGGGUAGGGCUACACACGUGCUACAAUGGCGUAUACAAAGAGAAGCGAACUCGCGAGAGCAAGCGGACCUCAUAAAGUACGUCGUAGUCCGGAUCGGAGUCUGCAACUCGACUCCGUGAAGUCGGAAUCGCUAGUAAUCGUAGAUCAGAAUGCUACGGUGAAUACGUUCCCGGGCCCUAGUACACACCGCCCGU
rnacentral:rRNA from 1 species